AUCAAAAAUAUUUCUCUGGACAAAGUACAGAAUUAGAAAACCUGGAGAAGAUCUACUGUGCCUUCAACAUACACAAAAGGUUUGGAUCUUCCAGCAUGGAACCUCCUUCAUCGCCGUAGAAAGAGUUGUCAAUGGAAAUCUGAAACGAUACCCUCUGAUGCUUCACAGCAAAAGUUUUAUCACCCACUGAGGUCAUUGGAGGAGGAAGAAAGGAAAUAGCCUCUUUUGAAUCCACCGUAGAAAUUCCAAAGCUGUUUCAGUCUCUGUCCUUAAUUGCUGCUCCCGUUC